rnacentral:rRNA from 1 species
AGCGAACGCUGGCGGCAGGCUUAACACAUGCAAGUCGAACGGUCCUUCGGGAUAGUGGCGGACGGGUGAGUAACACGUGGGAACGUACCCUUAGGUUCGGAACAACACAGGGAAACUUGUGCUAAUACCGGAUAAGCCCUUCGGGGGACAGAUUUAUCGCCUUUGGAGCGGCCUGCGUCUGAUUAGCUUGUUGGUGAGGUAAUGGCCCACCAAGGCUACGAUCAGUAGCUGGUCUGAGAGGAUGGCCAGACACAAUGGGACUGAGACACGGCCCAGACUCCUACGGGAGGCAGCAGUGGGGAAUCUUGCGCAAUGGGCGAAAGCCUGACGCAGCCAUGCCGCGUGGAUGAUGAAGGUCUUAGGAUUGUAAAAUCCUUUCACCGGGGACGAUAAUGACGGUACCCGGAGAAGAAGCCCCGGCUAACUUCGUGCCAGCCGCCGCAGUAA